rnacentral:rRNA from 1 species
UACGAAGGGGGCUAGCGUUGUUCGGAAUUACUGGGCGUAAAGCGCGCGCAGGCGGCUAUCCAAGUCAGUGGUGAAAGCCCGGAGCUCAACUCCGGAACUGCCAUUGAAACUGUUUAGCUUGAGGAUGAGAGAGGUGAGUGGAAUUCCCAGUGUAGAGGUGAAAUUCGUAGAUAUCGGGAGGAACACCAGUGGCGAAGGCGGCGACCUGGGCCAAUACUGACACUGAGGUGCGAAAGCGUGGGGAGCAAACAGG